AUGGCUCAUGGGAACCCUUCGCUAGUCAAUACGCAUUUGCCAUCUCAUACUGUAGAUCCCCUUCUUGGGAACGAAUCAGCGGAGUGUCUCUCUUUAAGGAGCUCCAGUGAAAGUGCAAACUCUUGUUGUCGUGGUUCAGCCCUGACCUUGGGAGAUCUCAGUCCAUCUAGUCUGGUGGAGUCUUUUCAUAGCUCUGCCUCCUUUCAGUCUCUUUUGCAGUCCUCACAGACUUCUGCCAGCUUGCACUGUUCAAUCCAGAGGCUUAAACAAGAAACUGUUUUGAUGGGGAUAUGGGGCUCCCUCCCUCUGGAGCCCACGUCUUCUCCAGUGAGUGACAGUCUGCGCUUAGCUCCUGAUGAUUCAGUUCCUGGUAUCCUGAGCACAGGAGAGCAGCUAGCUGGAGUAAAUACCAGUGCUGCUCAGGCAAGAUUGAAAUGGGGUGUCCCAUUUGCUAAAGACUGGAGCCUCAGUACAGUGCCAAGGGAAUUCUGUCAUGCCGAACCUGCCUCUGUCUCUCACAGAUACGGACAUACUGACUCACACACAGGGAGAACCAAACUUUCAGGUGACAUCCAGCGAGAAACCCUCUCUGCUGCGGUGGGCUCUGGCUGGCAGGUGGAUACAGAAGCAGGUUCUUCCUAUAAUUGCUCCCCUUAUUUCAGAUACCAGUCCCAGGCAAAGCCAGCUCUGGAAACUAGAGGUCUUUAUGUUCACACAAAAAGUCAUUCCCCUGAAGAGGUACUUAAAGGAGAAAAGACAUUUGAUGGGGCACCCCCAUGUGCUGUAUCUUGGAAAAAAGACCUUCCAUUCAGCCUAUAUCCAGAAGGUCUKCAGGUGUCACUGGAGACGCAGUAUGAGGGUGCUCAGAUGAAUGUUGGUGUAGCCAUGUAUGGGACUCCGAGGGAAAUGUGCAUGAGAGUCACUUCUCCAUCUGGAGAUAAAGAGUUUGGGUCAGUCCAGCAGCUUAGUAUUAAAUCUGUAGAAGUCAGCACCUCUGAACCUCAUAGUGAGUCCAGCAAAGAGUCAGAAGAGGCGUGUGACKCUAGACUGCAAGCAGCCAGAAGAAUGGCUGUGGUGAACAGCAGCAAGUCCAGCCCUUCCAGUAUUCAGGCUGAAACAGGCUUUGGUGAAUUUUCUGACAUAGAUAGUGUGAAUGUGAACAGAGAAGGAGGGACAAACAAACACUCCCGCCAGAACAGCUGGAAGAAUUGGAAACCUGACACCAAUCUGGACCAGUCUGAAGGGCCUUCUGUGGAGAGGAGUGCCAACAAACCACAGUGUUGUGAAGAAGGCAGCCAGAUGCAGGAAACUGUGUCCGGAGAGGUGAGGGUAUUCUCACUGCAUAGCAUCCCUGUUUGCAGAUCCUACUUGUGCUAG
rnacentral:lncRNA from 1 species